GCAGAAAUGUGGAGCGAAAAAACAAAUGAUAAUCUUAAAGCCUGAUCCACUCGCGCGACGACUACAAAAAUCCACCAUCCACCCCUCAGGCUUCCAACGCCACCCGCCGGUGGCCGGAGCAACGCCGACCAGUCACAGCGACCCCCUCCAGCACAGCAGCCCGAGUCUCCCCAUCGUCACCUCACUCCGCCGCUGGUGCUGCGCGCUCACUCGUCGCCUCCCAGAGCGAGCGGGGGACCACCAGAGCAGCUUCCUGCGAAGAGCACAAAGUUCCGGGGAGCACAAGAGCAAGAAGGCCGAGCACCAGUACUUCAGGGCUCCAUCUUUCCGGACCAAGGACCAAUCUCUGCAAGUUCAAUCGCUACCAGAUGAUGGCUACGGCCCUGCAGAGCAAGAUUCCGAGGGCAAUUCGCCAGGUUCCCCGGACGCUGAGGCACUGGCUUCCUUGUUGCGUUCUUGCGGCAGCGUGGACGAUGUCCGGCGAGUGCACGCGAUUUCUGUGCGGUCGCCAGAUGGUCCGGGCAUGUUCGUGGCCAACAAUUUGAUCAACGCGUAUGCGAGGUUUCAUGAGAUUUCAGAUGCUAGGAAGGUGUUUGAUGAAAUGCCCGAUAAGAGUGUUGUGUCGUGGACGGCUAUCAUAAACGGGUAUCAGAAAUCAGGAAACUACAAUGAGGUAGUGAGACUGUUCUUGGAUAUGGUAGGCAGUGGAGUGCGAGGUAACAGCUUGACUUUUGUUUGCUUGUUGAAAUCUUGUGGCGAGCAGUGCAAUACUAAGCUAGGGCGGCAGGUCCAUUGUUGUGUUGUGAAAGGAGGGUGGAGCAACGUGAUAAUGGACAGUGCUGUUGUGCACUUCUAUGCACAGUGCGGCCAUAUCGCCAGUGCUUCGACAAUGUUUGAUAAGAUGGCCUCUCGUGAUGUUAUCUCGUGGACAACAAUGAUUACAGCUUAUGUGCAGCAUGGGCGUGGGGAUAAAGCCCUUGAGAUGUUUUCAGUGAUGGUCUCUGAGGGAUAUUAUCCAAAUGAAUUUACUGUGUGCAGCAUCCUCAAGGCUUGCUCAGAUGAGAAGGCUUUCAGAUUUGGGAAGCAGCUGCAUGGCGCUAUUGUGAAAAAAUUGUACAAAGAUGACAUCCAUGUCGGUAGUGCUCUUGUCACCAUGUAUGCCAGAUUAGGAGAAGUCUUUGAUGCUCAAGCAGUGUUUGAUAAGAUGGCACGAAGAAACACUAUUACAUGGACUUCUAUGAUCUCUGGCUAUGCGCAAAGUGGCCAUGGUGAAAAAGCUAUCUUGUUGUUCCAAAACAUGAAGAUGCGCCGAGUGUCUAUUAACAACCUCACAAUUGUUGGUCUUCUUAGUGCAUGUGGCUCUAUACAAUCUCUUCGUCUCGGAAAGGAACUGCAUGCACAGAUAAUAAAGAAUUCCAUUCAAGAGAAUCUUCAAAUUGGGAGUACACUUGUUUGGUGCUAUUGUAAAUGUGGUGAGUAUACAUAUGCUGCACGGAUUCUAAAAGAUAUGCCUGACCGUGAUGCUAUCUCGUGGACAGCUAUGAUUUCAGGCUACAAUAGUGUUGGUCAUAAUGCUGAAGCACUUAAAUCAUUAGAUGAUAUGUUAUGGGAUGGUGUCAAACCAAAUACCUACACAUAUUCAUCGGCUUUGAAAGCAUGUGCAAAACUAGAGGCUCUGCAAGAUGGAAGGAGGAUCCACGGUGUUGUUAACAAGACUCCAGCUUUCUUGAAUGUAUUUGUGGGAAGCUCGCUGAUUGAUAUGUACAUGAGGUGUGGAAAUGUUGAUGAUGCUCGACGAGUCUUUGACGCCAUGCCAGAACACAACUUGGUAACAUGGAAAGUGAUUAUUACAGGAUUUGCUCAGAAUGGCCUCUGUGAAGAAGCAUUUAAGUACAUGUACCUUAUGCAGCAAGAAGGACAUGACGUUGAUGACUUUGUGCUUUCAAAAGUUCUGACAUCUUGUGGUGAUCUUCAGUGGAAGUCGGAUUGCAUCUCCUUUUCUGACCCAGUGUCCGGUUCACCCGCUAGGUACUAAAUUAGUUCUCUAGUCUAGGCAAAAUUUUGGUGGUUCUAGGCAGGGGUUGUUCUCAGGAGUUAGGAUAGUGGAAUAAUUUUAAUUGUAUGAGGACCAUUCCGAUGUCUGUUUUCGACGGUGUCGUGAAGAGAGAGAAAGAGAGAGAGAGAGAGAGAGAGAGAGAGAGAGAGAGAGAGAGAGAGAAGGGGAUGCAACAGACACCGAACAAAAAAUACCAAGAAAUUCUGGGGUAUGUGUGUCAGUACCAACACUGGCAUACGUUUAAGAAGCCAAGGGAAACAGCUUUGGGUUCACUUGUAGUUGUAAGUGUAGUGCAGGAGGCACAGAAGGAGAUGGUGGCAAGUGAGAAAAGAAGGCGAUAUUUUAUUUAGUUCCGCUUCUCGCAUUCAGGUGAGAAAGUGUGUUACACUGGAAGGUCAAAGCAAACUCCACUGCACAUCAGAUGUUACAGAGCACUUCUAUGAUGCACGAGUACUCUGCAGAAUACCCAUAUUGAGUUUUACAGGAUUUCAGGGAUGUUUACCCUGGAAGGAGUUACUUUUUUCCUUGUCGUGUGGUUUGAUCAGCGAAACUGACUGUAAUAGUGGAUCUUUGGAGUACGUCGCAAGAGCAACAAUAUGCAAAGAAGAGCCAAAUAGUAGUGUUCCACAAUAGGGUCAACCCAUAUAAACUGAAGACUUGUUAGUGCGUUGAAAUGUUAAGUUGAAACAAAAGCUCAAAUUGGGAGCAUUAGCUUUUCUGAUGUGCUUUUGUUCUUUCUAUGAUGUAUUGCAGCAAAAAGGACCGCUUUGGUUGGUUGUUUUUA